rnacentral:rRNA from 1 species
GAUCCUGGCUCAGAAUCAACGCUGGCGGCGUGCCUCAGACAUGCAAGUCGAACGAUUAAACUUCUCUUCGGAGAAGAUAUAAAGUGGCGCACGGGUGAGUAACACGUAAGUAAUCUACCUUCGAGUGGGGAAUAACGUUCGGAAACGAACGCUAAUACCGCAUAAUGCAGCGGCAUCGCAAGAUGACAGUUGUUAAAGAUUUAUCGCUUGAAGAGGAGCUUGCGGCAGAUUAGCUAGUUGGUAAGGUAACGGCUUACCAAGGCGACGAUCUGUAUCCGGUCUAAGAGGACGGUCGGACACACUGACACUGAAUAACGGGUCAGACUCCUACGGGAGGCAGCAGUCGGGAAUUUUGGGCAAUGGGCGAAAGCCUGACCCAGCAACGCCGCGUGAAGGAUGAAGUUUUUCGGAAUGUAAACUUCGUAAGAAUAGGAAGAAUAAAUGACGGUACUAUUUGUAAGGUCCGGCUAACUACGUGCCAGCAGCCGCGGUAAUACGUAGGGACCAAGCGUUGUUCGGAUUUACUGGGCGUAAAGGGCGCGUAGGCGGCAAUUCAAGUCAGCUGUGAAAUCUCCGGGCUUAACUCGGAACGGUCAGCUGAUACUGCUUUGCUAGAGUGCAGAAGGGGCAAUCGGAAUUCUUGGUGUAGCGGUGAAAUGCGUAGAUAUCAAGAGGAACACCUGAGGUGAA